AUUGAACGCUGGCGGCAUGCUUUACACAUGCCAGUCGAACGGCAGCGCGGGCUUCGGCCUGGCGGCGAGUGGCGAACGGGUGAGUAAUGCAUCGGAACGUGCCCAGUAGUGGGGGAUAGCCCGGCGAAAGCCGGAUUAAUACCGCAUACGACCUGAGGGUGAAAGCGGGGGACCGAAAGGCCUCGCGCUAUUGGAGCGGCCGAUGUCGGAUUAGCUAGUUGGUGGGGUAAAGGCUUACCAAGGCGACGAUCCGUAGCUGGUCUGAGAGGACGACCAGCCACACUGGGGCUGAGACACGGCCCAGACUCCUACGGGAGGCAGCAGGUGGGAAAUUUGGACAAUUGGGGCAACCCUGAUCCAGCCAUGCCGCGUGCGGGAAAGAGGCCUUCGGGUUGGAAACCGGUUUUGUUCGGGAAGAAAUCCUCUUGGCUAAUACCCCGGGGGGAUGACGGUACCGGAAGAAUAAGCACCGGCUAACUACGUG
rnacentral:rRNA from 1 species